rnacentral:rRNA from 1 species
GGUUAAGCGACUAAGCGUACACGGUGGAUGCCCUGGCAGUCAGAGGCGAUGAAGGGCGUGCUAAUCUGCGAUAAGCGCCGGUAAGGUGAUAUGAACCGUUAUAACCGGCGAUACCCGAAUGGGGAAACCCAGUGUGACUCGUCACACUAUCAUUAACUGAAUCCAUAGGUUAAUGAGGCGAACCGGGGGAACUGAAACAUCUAAGUACCCCGAGGAAAAGAAAUCAACCGAGAUUCCCCCAGUAGCGGCGAGCGAACGGGGAGGAGCCCAGAGCCUGAAUCAGCAUGUGUGUUAGUGGAAGCGUCUGGAAAGGCGCGCGAUACAGGGUGACAGCCCCGUACACAAAAGCGCAUGUGCUGUGAGCUCGAUGAGUAGGGCGGGACACGUGGUAUCCUGUCUGAAUAUGGGGGGACCAUCCUCCAAGGCUAAAUACUCCUGACUGACCGAUAGUGAACCAGUACCGUGAGGGAAAGGCGAAAAGAACCCCGGCGAGGGGAGUGAAAAAGAACCUGAAACCGUGUACGUACAAGCAGUGGGAGCACAGGUUUACCUGUGUGACUGCGUACCUUUUGUAUAAUGGGUCAGCGACUUAUAUUCUGUAGCAAGGUUAACCGAAUAGGGGAGCCGGAGGGAAACCGAGUCUUAAUUGGGCGUUAAGUUGCAGGGUAUAGACCCGAAACCCGGUGAUCUAGCCAUGGGCAGGUUGAAGGUUGGGUAACACUAACUGGAGGACCGAACCGACUAAUGUUGAAAAAUUAGCGGAUGACCUGUGGCUGGGGGUGAAAGGCCAAUCAAACCGGGAGAUAGCUGGUUCUCCCCGAAAGCUAUUUAGGUAGCGCCUCGUGAAUUCAUCUCCGGGGGUAGAGCACUGUUUCGGCUAGGGGGCCAUCCCGGCUUACCAACCCGAUGCAAACUGCGAAUACCGGAGAAUGUUAUCACGGGAGACACACGGCGGGUGCUAACGUCCGUCGUGAAGAGGGAAACAACCCAGACCGCCAGCUAAGGUCCCAAAGUCAUGGUUAAGUGGGAAACGAUGUGGGAAGGCCCAGACAGCCAGGAUGUUGGCUUAGAAGCAGCCAUCAUUUAAAGAAAGCGUAAUAGCUCACUGGUCGAGUCGGCCUGCGCGGAAGAUGUAACGGGGCUAAACCAUGCACCGAAGCUGCGGCAGCGAACGUAUCACUUAAAGCGAUUCAGCGGGUUACGAUUGACGGAGCGAAGCGACGUCAAAGCGUAUACAAAGUCGAGUCGGUUUAAGGAUACGUUCGUUGGGUAGGGGAGCGUUCUGUAAGCCUGUGAAGGUGGCCUGUGAGGGUUGCUGGAGGUAUCAGAAGUGCGAAUGCUGACAUAAGUAACGAUAAAGCGGGUGAAAAGCCCGCUCGCCGGAAGACCAAGGGUUCCUGUCCAACGUUAAUCGGGGCAGGGUGAGUCGACCCCUAAGGCGAGGCCGAAAGGCGUAGUCGAUGGGAAACAGGUUAAUAUUCCUGUACUUGGUGUUACUGCGAAGGGGGGACGGAGAAGGCUAUGUUGGCCGGGCGACGGUUGUCCCGGUUUAAGCGUGUAGGCUGGUUUUCCAGGCAAAUCCGGAAAAUCAAGGCUGAGGCGUGAUGACGAGGCACUACGGUGCUGAAGCAACAAAUGCCCUGCUUCCAGGAAAAGCCUCUAAGCAUCAGGUAACAUCAAAUCGUACCCCAAACCGACACAGGUGGUCAGGUAGAGAAUACCAAGGCGCUUGAGAGAACUCGGGUGAAGGAACUAGGCAAAAUGGUGCCGUAACUUCGGGAGAAGGCACGCUGACACGUAGGUGAAGUGAUUUACUCAUGGAGCUGAAGUCAGUCGAAGAUACCAGCUGGCUGCAACUGUUUAUUAAAAACACAGCACUGUGCAAACACGAAAGUGGACGUAUACGGUGUGACGCCUGCCCGGUGCCGGAAGGUUAAUUGAUGGGGUCAGCGCAAGCGAAGCUCCUGAUCGAAGCCCCGGUAAACGGCGGCCGUAACUAUAACGGUCCUAAGGUAGCGAAAUUCCUUGUCGGGUAAGUUCCGACCUGCACGAAUGGCGUAAUGAUGGCCAGGCUGUCUCCACCCGAGACUCAGUGAAAUUGAACUCGCUGUGAAGAUGCAGUGUACCCGCGGCAAGACGGAAAGACCCCGUGAACCUUUACUAUAGCUUGACACUGAACAUUGAGCCUUGAUGUGUAGGAUAGGUGGGAGGCUUUGAAGUGUGGACGCCAGUCUGCAUGGAGCCGACCUUGAAAUACCACCCUUUAAUGUUUGAUGUUCUAACGUGGACCCGUAAUCCGGGUUGCGGACAGUGUCUGGUGGGUAGUUUGACUGGGGCGGUCUCCUCCUAAAGAGUAACGGAGGAGCACGAAGGUUGGCUAAUCCUGGUCGGACAUCAGGAGGUUAGUGCAAUGGCAUAAGCCAGCUUGACUGCGAGCGUGACGGCGCGAGCAGGUGCGAAAGCAGGUCAUAGUGAUCCGGUGGUUCUGAAUGGAAGGGCCAUCGCUCAACGGAUAAAAGGUACUCCGGGGAUAACAGGCUGAUACCGCCCAAGAGUUCAUAUCGACGGCGGUGUUUGGCACCUCGAUGUCGGCUCAUCACAUCCUGGGGCUGAAGUAGGUCCCAAGGGUAUGGCUGUUCGCCAUUUAAAGUGGUACGCGAGCUGGGUUUAGAACGUCGUGAGACAGUUCGGUCCCUAUCUGCCGUGGGCGCUGGAGAACUGAGGGGGGCUGCUCCUAGUACGAGAGGACCGGAGUGGACGCAUCACUGGUGUUCGGGUUGUCAUGCCAAUGGCACUGCCCGGUAGCUAAAUGCGGAAGAGAUAAGUGCUGAAAGCAUCUAAGCACGAAACUUGCCCCGAGAUGAGUUCUCCCUGAGACUUAGAGUCUCCUGAAGGAACGUUGAAGACGACGACGUUGAUAGGCCGGGUGUGUAAGCGCAGCGAUGCGUUGAGCUAACCGGUACUAAUGAACCGUGAGGCUUAACCUU